AACGUAGGGUGCGAGCGUUGUCCGGAAUUAUUGGGCGUAAAGAGCGUGUAGGCGGCCAGACAGGUCAGCUGUGAAAACUCGAGGCUCAACCUCGAGACGCCGGUUGAAACCGUCUGGCUAGAGUCCGGAAGAGGAGAGUGGAAUUCCCGGUGUAGCGGUGAAAUGCGCAGAUAUCGGGAAGAACACCCGUGGCGAAGGCGGCUCUCUGGGACGGUACUGACGCUGAGACGCGAAAGCGUGGGGAGCGAACAGG
rnacentral:rRNA from 1 species